rnacentral:rRNA from 1 species
UACGAACCGUGCGAACGUUAUUCGGAAUCACUGGGCUUAAAGGGCGCGUAGGCGGGCUCUCAAGUCAGGGGUGAAAUCUUUCAGCUUAACUGGAAAACAGCCCCUGAUACUGCGAGUCUCGAGGGAGGUAGGGGCAUGUGGAACUUCCGGUGGAGCGGUGAAAUGCGUAGAUAUCGGAAGGAACGCCGGUGGCGAAAGCGACGUGCUGGACCUCUUCUGACGCUGAGGCGCGAAAGCUAGGGGAGCAAACGGG